rnacentral:lncRNA from 1 species
GCACCUUUGGAUCCUGUGGGAACUAAUAGUAGGAUUUGCUCUUGAGUUGUGUAGCCACACACCCUUCCCCAGGCAGGGCCUCAUGUGGCUAUUCUGGUAGAGUGUCCCUGAUUUUCUGUGGGCAGCCAUCCUCACUCCACUCUCAGUGACCCCACUCUGACUGCAAGGGUGGGUUUGUCAUGAUAAUUUCUAGUAUCAUAGUCCCUGGCCUAAGUGACAGGUUCUGGCCUGGCCAUGUGAUACUGUCGGGGCCACUGAGGAACAAAAGGACACCAUGGGUAAAGGGACUACUGCCCACUCCCUGCUGGAUAAGGCAGGAUGUGGACACCAAAGAUAGGGCCUAUUGGAGAAAAGGCCACAUGGGGAAUGGAGCCUGAGGGAUAAGCUCAGGCCCCAUAAAAAUGCUGGGACUCACCCUGCUCUCAGACUUUCCUUCUUGUUUUUGAUUUUCUGUCAUCACUGAAAUGUCCUGACAAGCACCAAAAUUUGUGACACUGAGAUGCAGAGAGAUUAGGCAGCUACAGUGAUGGCAGAGAUGGGGCACCUAAGUGGAGAAACAGAGAGGAACGUCAGACUGGGUUUCAAAGACUGUCAGUCUGAACAAUAAGUGCCCCUCAGGCCAGCAUGCUAGAUUACUUUGGUAAUGACCACAAGCCAGGGAGGCAAAUCACAGAUUUAGGAAGGAGCAGUGUGUGCCUUCUAAGGUAAUUUAAGCAAAAGUUGCUGUGCUUAAAGGGAAAUUCAGCUUUUCGGCAUGACUAGUUCCUAAAGGAAGUAUGUCCCUAUUAAAUUUUAAAAUAAAAUAUAACAAAAAAUCAUGGCUAACAGUUCAACAUUUCAUGAUUUUACUGCCCACGUUUUAUCAAAAGAUAAAUCAUGAGAUGACGUUAGGUGUGCAUUCAUCCCCGUUUCACGCACAACAUCUGAUUUUAUGGUAAAGAAAAGGUUCCAUGAAUUUCCCCUCAUUUCCCUGGAUAGAAGAGGGAGAUUUGGCCUUGGGACAAGUAGAGGUUAGCCUGAGGUGUGGGAGUUCUCUGAGAGCUGAUAUGCUUGUGCUGCGUCACCCGCCCUCAUAAUACCCCACAUCAGGGAAGUGACAGAAACUUUUAGAUUUAUUGAGCACAGUGUGCAAGGGAGGCCCUGUGAUAGGUUGUGGAGCCCAUGACCCUGUCUCACCCUUAUGUUGCCUCUACCUCAGGUAGACAUUCUUCUCCCCACUUCCUGCCAGGAGCUGGAUUUGGAUGUAGUAUGUGUUAUUCAGCUUUGCACUGCUGUGACCAAAAUAUCCUACAAGCACAACUUAGAGGAGGAAAGAUUUAUUUUGGCUCAUGGUUUCAGAGGAUUCAGUCCAUUGUUGACUGGCUCCAAGGCAGAAACUGCAUGGUGGAGGACGUG